rnacentral:rRNA from 1 species
UAGGGAAUAUUAGAAAUGGACGAAAGUCUGAUCUAGCAACACCGCGUGUGCGAAGAAGGCCUUCGGGUUGUAAAGCACUUUUGGACGGAUUAGGAAGGAAUGUACUUCCAGAAUAAGUCUCGGCUAACUACGUGCCAGCAGCCGCGGUAACACGUAGGAGGCAAACGUUAUCCGGAUUUACUGGGCGUAAAGCGCGUGUAGGUGGUUCUGUAAGUAGGGCGUGAAAGCUCCUGGCUCAACUGGGAGAGGCCGUUCUAAACUGCAGAGCUAGAGGAUGGUAGAGGGAUGUGGAAUUCCGGGUGUAGCGGUGGAAUGCGCAGAUAUCCGGAGGAACACCAGUGGCGAAAGCGGCCUCCUGGACCAUUCCUGACACUCAGACGCGAAAGCUAGGGUAGCAAACG